UACGAAGGGGGCUAGCGUUGUUCGGAAUUACUGGGCGUAAAGCGUGCGCAGGCGGCCAUCCAAGUCAGUGGUGAAAGCCCGGGAGCUCAACUCCGGAAUUGCCAUUGAAACUGUUUGGCUCGAGCACGAGAGAGGUGAGUGGAAUUCCCAGUGUAGAGGUGAAAUUCGUAGAUAUCGGGAGGAACACCUGUGGCGAAGGCGGCCCCCCUGGUCGGAUACUGACGCUGAGACGCGAAAGCGUGGGGAGCAAACAGGG
rnacentral:rRNA from 1 species